AGCAGCCGCGGUAAUUCCAGCUCCAAUAGCGUAUAUUAAAGUUGUUGCAGUUAAAAAGCUCGUAGUUGAAUUUCGGGGUUAGUAGGUUGGUCAUGCCUCUGGUAUGUACUGGUCUCACUGAUUCCUCCUUCCUGAUGAACCUUAAUGCCAUUUAUUUGGUGUUUUGGGGAAUUUGGACUGUUACUUUGAAAAAUUAGAGUGUUUAAAGCAAGCUAACGCUUGAAUACAUUAGCAUGGAAUAAUGAAAUAGGACGUUCGAUCCUAUUUUGUUGGUUUCUAGGAUUGACGUAAUGAUUAAUAGGGAUAGUUGGGGGCAUUAGUAUUCAAUUGUCAGAGGUGAAAUUCUUGGAUUUAUUGAAGACUAACUACUGCGAAAGCAUUUGCCAAGGAUGUUUUCAUUAAUCAAGAACGAAAGUUAGGGGAUCGAAGACGAUCAGAUACCGUCGUAGU
rnacentral:rRNA from 1 species